CCUACGGGUGGCAGCAGUGAGGAAUAUUGGUCAAUGGCCGGAAGGCUGAACCAGCCAUGCCGCGUGAAGGGCAGAGACCUAUGGGCGUUAAACUUCUUUUGUGCGGGAGCAAUAAUGGUCACGUGUGGCCAGACGAGAGUACCGUACGAAUAAGCAUCGGCCAACUCCGUUCCAGCAGCCGCGGAAAUACGGGGGAUGCAAGCGUUAUCCGGAUUUAUUGGGUUUAAAGGGUGCGUAGGCUGUGAGGUAAGUCAGCGGGGAAAUGCCCCCGCUCAACGGGGUGAAGUGCCAUUGAUACUGCCUUGCUGGAAUGCGGAUGCCGUGGGAGGAAUGUGUGGUGUAGCGGUGAAAUGCAUAGAUAUCACACAGAACACCGAUUGCGAAGGCAUCUCACGAAUCCGCGAUUGACGCUGAUGCACGAAAGCGUGGGUAUCAAACAGGAUUAGAUACCCUUGUAGUC
rnacentral:rRNA from 1 species